rnacentral:rRNA from 1 species
CGCGUAGGCGGCAUGGUACGGUUCGGGUGAAAUCCCACGGCUCAACCGUGGAACUGCCCGAGCAUCGGCCAUGCUAGACGGCAUCAGGGGGAGGUGGAACUCCGGGUGGAGCGGUGAAAUGCGUAGAUAUCCGGAGGAACGCCGGUGGCGAAAGCGACCUCCUGGGGUGAUCGUGACGCUGAGGCGCGAAAGCUAGGGGAGCGAACGG